rnacentral:rRNA from 1 species
GUACGGGAGGCAGCAGUGGGGAAUAUUGGUCAAUGGAGGCAACUCUGAACCAGCCAUGCCGCGUGCAGGAUGAAGGCCCUAUGGGUCGUAAACUGCUUUUGUACCAGAGAAAACCCUUCUACGUGUAGAAGGUUGAUAGUAUGGUAAGAAUAAGCAUCGGCUAACUUCGUGCCAGCAGCCGCGGUAAGACGAAGGAUGCAAGCGUUAUCCGGAUUCAUUGGGUUUAAAGGGUGCGUAGGCGGACUGAUAAGUCAGUGGUGAAAUCUCUCAGCUUAACUGAGAAACUGCCAUUGAUACUGUCAGUCUAGAGUACAGAUGAUGUGGGCGGAAUAUGACAUGUAGUGGUGAAAUACUUAGAUAUGUCAUAGAACACCGAUUGCGAAGGCAGCUCACAAAACUGUAACUGACGCUGAGGCACGAAAGUGCGGGGAUCAAACAGGAUUAGAUACCCGGGUAGUCC